rnacentral:lncRNA from 1 species
AUGAGUACUGAAAGCAACUGAACAAGAUACAAGACUUCAGCAAUGGAAAGAGGAUUGGGCUCUCCUCUGACCCAGGAUCAGUCCAGGUGUGGAGUGUGUGAGCAGGUACUGAGGGACCCAGUCAUCACCACCUGUGGACCACAGUUUCUGCAAGCAGUGCAUCACAGCUGCUGGGCUGGGGCUGACCCACCCGGAGGCGCUACCUGUCCCAGGUGUGCAGGCCAACGCAGUGCCCAGUCUCAACCACCAGGGGCAAACUAUGCUCAGGGAUGCAUUGACCCAGGCCAAGCAAGAGCUCCUGUCGUGAGCUCCACCACCACAGCUGAAGGUGGAAGCAGCAUCUUUAACCCCUCGUUGGCUGGCUGUAAUAUCUAUGGACCGGUUACAUUCAACAGUGGAAACACACUCCACCAUUGGCGGUAAGGUGCUACUUUACCUUACGUGCCGAGGUUCUGCUCAAGGUUUCUUCCUGUUUCUUCUUCCUUCCAGGGAGUUUUUAGUUUUUUCUUGCCUCUGUGGUGAAGCGCCUUGACAUAAUUGUAUUGUUUUGGCGCUAUAUACAUAAAAUUGAAUUGAAUAUAUGAUGGACAUUUUUUGCUUCAACACAAUAUGUGAAUUGUGUUCUCUUUUUUCUUUCAAACGAAGGAAGAAGAUGGUCAGAGAAAGAACCAGGUAAACAGUCAUAAUAAGUCAUAUUUUUGAUGUAGAGCUGUGAUUUAUGAUGAAGUGGUCAUCUCAGACUAUACUUCAAUUUUUUUAUAUAUUGUUUUUUAGCUUAUACAUCUUUCAUUGAAACACAUAAUUAUACUAAAAUAAGGUGUUUUAUGGAUCUUCCACACUAUGAAACAGGAGUCUCUCAAAAUGCAGAUAUAACGCCACAUGAUUAUAUAUUAAAUUCUACAACUGAAGAAAGAUCUUACUUGGAAGAGUACUUGGGCUUUAUAGGAUUUAACAAUUUCUACAAUUUACCAAUUUCUCUUAUGCUGUUGACUAUCUAUGUGUUCUUUCAAUCAGAUGGAGCUAUUCUACAGGAAGUACUCACUGACCAUAAGAGUAGGAUGAAGAAGCGCUUCGAGUGCAUAUUUGAAGGUAUUUGAAAUGAAAGCAAACAAGAAGCUGCUCAACAAAAUCUACACAGCGCUCUACAUC